ensembl:snRNA U6 U6 spliceosomal RNA
CUUUGUUAGCAAAAAUAUUAAAUACUCAAACAAUAAAGAUUAGCAUGGCCUCUGCACCCAAGAACAACAUGUAAAUUCUUGAAGUGUUUCAUUUUUUU